rnacentral:rRNA from 1 species
CCUACGGGUGGCAGCAGUGGGGAAUAUUGCACAAUGGGGGAAACCCUGAUGCAGCAACGCCGCGUGAGUGAGGAAGUAUUUCGGUAUGUAAAGCUCUAUCAGUAGGGAAUAGAAAAGAAGGUACCGGAAAAAGAAGCCCCGGCUAACUACGUGCCAGCAGCCGCGGUAAUACGUAGGGGGCAAGCGUUAUCCGGAUUUACUGGGGGUAAAGGGAGCGUAGACGGAAAGGCAAGUCAGAAGUGAAAGCCCAAGGCUCAACCAUGGGACUGCGUUUGAAACUGUCAAACUAGAGUACGGGAGAGGUAAGAGUACUUCCUAGUGUAGCGGUGUAAUGCGUAGAUAUUAGGAGGAACCCCAGUGGCGAAGGCGUCUUACUGGACCGCAACUGCCGUUGAGGCUCGAAUGCGUGGGGAGCAAACAGGAUUAGAUCCCCGAGUAGUC